AACGAACGCUGGCGGCAUGCCUAACACAUGCAAGUCGAACGAGACCUUCGGGUCUAGUGGCGCACGGGUGCGUAACGCGUGGGAACCUGCCCUUAGGUUCGGAAUAACUCCCUGAAAGGGGUGCUAAUACCGGAUAAUGUCUUCGGACCAAAGAUUUAUCGCCUUUGGAUGGGCCCGCGUUGGAUUAGCUAGUUGGUAGGGUAAAAGCCUACCAAGGCGACGAUCCAUAGCUGGUCUGAGAGGAUGAUCAGCCACACUGGGACUGAGACACGGCCCAGACUCCUACGGGAGGCAGCAGUGGGGAAUAUUGGACAAUGGGCGAAAGCCUGAUCCAGCAAUGCCGCGUGAGUGAUGAAGGCCUUAGGGUUGUAAAGCUCUUUUACCCGGGAUGAUAAUGACAGUACCGGGAGAAUAAGCGCCGGCUAACUCCGUG
rnacentral:rRNA from 1 species